UACGUAGGGUGCGAGCGUUGUCCGGAAUUAUUGGGCGUAAAGAGCUUGUAGGCGGUUUGUCGCGUCUGCUGUGAAAAUCCGGGGCUCAACCCCGGACUUGCAGUGGGUACGGGCAGACUAGAGUGUGGUAGGGGAGACUGGAAUUCCUGGUGUAGCGGUGAAAUGCGCAGAUAUCAGGAGGAACACCGAUGGCGAAGGCUGGUCUCUGGGCCACUACUGACGCUGAGAAGCGAAAGCAUGGGGAGCGAACAGGACUAGAUA
rnacentral:rRNA from 1 species